AUUCAUCUGACGAGUCCGAAACAGGACAAAACGCUCAUCCUGGAU
rnacentral:hammerhead_ribozyme from 1 species